rnacentral:misc_RNA from 1 species
CGUCAUUUACACCCUCAAGCUUAGCUUGGUGUUGGGCGUCUGUCCCUGCUCUUUGCAAGGACUCGCCUUAAAAAUAUUGGCAGCGGCUUUGCCAGCUUCUUGUGCAGCACUUUGCGCUCUUGGAGGCUCUGGUAAGGAAGCGUCCACUAAGACCCCCCCCGUUUGACCUCGAAUCAGGUAGGGAUACCCGCUGAACUUAA